rnacentral:rRNA from 1 species
GGCCGCGGGAAUUCGAUUCAGGCCUAACACAUGCAAGUCGAACGGUAAGACCCCAGCUUGCUGGGGUACACGAGCGGCGAACGGGUGAGUAACACGUGGGUGACCUGCCCCGCACUUCGGGAUAAGCCUGGGAAACUGGGUCUAAUACCGGAUAGGACCGCACCGUGAGGGUGUGGUGGAAAGUUUUUCGGUGUGGGAUGGGCCCGCGGCCUAUCAGCUUGUUGGUGGGGUAAUGGCCUACCAAGGCGGCGACGGGUAGCCGGCCUGAGAGGGUGGACGGCCACAUUGGGACUGAGACACGGCCCAGACUCCUACGGGAGGCAGCAGUGGGGAAUAUUGCACAAUAGGGGGAAGCCUGAUGCAGCGACGCCGCGUGGGGGAUGAAAACGUUCGGGUUGUAAACUCCUUUCACCAUCGACGAAGGUGUCUGACGGUAGAUGAGAAGAGGCC